GAACAACUUUUUGGGGUAGGUGAGUGGCACUGUUACAGGUCCUAUUGUGGCCAUUGCACUGGGCUUUAGGCCCAGUACUUUAUGGCAGGAAGAGAUGGGUCAAGGAUGGUUUCUAUUUGAAGCAGUCACCACCUAAUUCUUCAUACGGAUUGUUCGACGAAAGAAGCCCUGUGGAUAAGCGAGCAGAGCAAUGAGGAAGAUGUUGGAAAGAAACUGGAAGAUGGGUCAUUCCAGUAACAGCUCCUUUCAAAGUGUCAGGAAUAACUGCCAACUUGAAUUUCAGGGCAGAGAAACAUUUUUGGCAGCAAGGAAAGAGGCCUCGAAACAACAGACCUCAAAGAAAGCUUCUAUCACAAGAGGAAGAAGGCUAGAAGGGGCGGAAGAACAUCAUGAAUAGGACCUGCGAAGAUCCAUGAGUGCCCAGUAAUGAGUGUGCAAUAAAACACUCAUCUGAUGACGCGCCUAAUCUGUGAACUGAACCUGGUUGUGCUUCCAGACAAAGUUUUCAUCGUGCAAUCACUCUGCCUCAAUCAUGGACAUAUUUCAUUUGUAGAUCUGCUGUGUAUUCUCACU